ncrna:unclassified sequences HNH endonuclease-associated RNA and ORF (HEARO) RNA
GUCAAUAACCCGCGCCCGAGGUAAACCUCGGACGGGGCUUGCAAAAGAAUAAAUUGUUUUAUUUCCACUUUUGUUUAGCUCCGUUACAGUUUACGGAAGGUGUUGGCCGAAAGGCCUUAUUGAUUAGCCUUAGCAGUACUGCUACGUUACCGAUAAAAUAGGCACCGUGGGAUACUCCUCAAGUCUCACGCUCUGCGGUAUGCUGUUAAACAUCUCUUACGGUAGGAGAAGUGCAGUAUACGCUAAACUAUCGGAUAACAUUGGCGAUGAGGACAA